rnacentral:rRNA from 1 species
AAACUCAAAGGAAUUGACGGGGCCCGCACAAGCGGUGAGCAUGUGGUUUAAUUCGAUGAUACGCGAGGAACCUUACCUGGGCUCAAAUGUAUGUUGACGUAUUCUGAAAGGGAUACUUCUUCGGACAAUAUACAAGGUGCUGCAUGGUUGUCGUCAGCUCGUGCCGUGAGGUGUCGGGUUAAGUCCCACAACGAGCGCAACCCCUGCUGCCAGUUGCCAACGGGUGAAGCCGGGCACUCUGGCGGGACUGCCAUCGACAAGAUGGAGGAAGGUGGGGAUGACGUCAAGUCAUCAUGGCCCUUAUGUCCAGGGCGACACACGUGCUACAAUGGCCGGCACAGCGGGAAGCGAGGCAGUGAUGCCAAGCGGAUCCCUUAAAGCCGGUCUCAGUUCGGAUUGAAGUCUGCAACUCGACUUCAUGAAGCUGGAAUCGCUAGUAAUCGCAGAUCAGCCAAGCUGCGGUGAAUACGUUCCCGGGCCUU